UUUUCUUUUUUUAAAAGAUUUCACUAAUGCCUCGUCAAAAGCUUCCCCUUUUUCCAUUUGCUACAGCGCACCACCACCCUUUUUUUCCUUUUCUUCUACCAAGUUAACAGCUUCAAAAAUCGAUGCCUCUACUUUUUGUAAACAUUCGCGCAUCUCCACCAUUUUUGCAUUAAUACUUGCUACAUAUUCUAGACUAGUUUCACAAAACUGGUCCAAAGGUUUCAUCACAGCUUCACAUAUUGCAUCUUGCGGCACUUGU